GGCGCCAAGAGCCGAAGAAGGACGCGGUAAGCUGCGAAAAGCCACGGGGAACUGCAAGCAAGUAUUGAUCCGUGGAUAUCCGAAUGGGGAAACCCGGCCAUCGUCAUGGAUGGUCACCCGCAAGGGAGGGAACCUGGGGAACUGAAACAUCUAAGUACCCGGAGGAAGAGAAAUCAAACGAGAUGCCCACAGUAGCGGCGAGCGAAGAGGGCAGAGCCCAAACCGAGAAGCUCCGGCUUUUCGGGGUUGAGGACCGGCAGAAUCGAAGUCAGGCCUAGUUGAAUUACCUGGAAAGGUAAGCGAGAGAGGGUAAAAGCCCCGUAGACGAAAGGCAGAGCAGAGAGGCCGAGAUCCAGAGUACCACGAAGCACGAGGAAUUUUGUGGGAAGCAGGGGGGACCACCCUCCAAGGCUAAAAACUACUUGGCGACCGAUAGCGCAUAGUACCGUGAGGGAAAGGUGAAAAGAACCCCGGGAGGGGAGUGAAAUAGUACCUGAAACCGUAUGUCUACAAGCAGUCGAAGCGAAAGCGACGGCGUGCCUAUUGAAGAAUGAACCAACGAGUUAUCUGCACUAGCGAGGUUAAGUGGAAGACACGGAGCCGCAGCGAAAGCGAGUCUUAAGAGGGCGCUAGUUAGUGUAGGUAGACCCGAAACCGCAGUGAUCUACCCAUGUCCAGGUUGAAGCGCAGGUAAAAUUGCGUGGAGGACCGAACCGGUGAGCGUUGAAAAGCUUUCGGAUGAGAUGUGGGUAGGGGUGAAAUUCCGAAUCGAACGCGGAGAUAGCUGGUUCUCCCCGAAAUAGCUUUAGGGCUAGCCUGAGGUAGUAAGUAUAGGCGGUAGAGCACUGAUCGGGCUAGGGGCCGUAAAGGUUACCGAACCCUGUCAAACUCCGAAUGGAUAUACUGUAGAGCCUUGGAGUCAGACUACGAGUGAUAAGAUCCGUGGUCAAAAGGGAAACAGCCCAGACCACCAGCUAAGGUCCCCAAUGUCGUACUAAGUGGAAAAGGAUGUGGGGUUUCAUAAACAACCAGGAUGUUGGCUCAGAAGCAGCCACCAUUUAAAGAGUGCGUAAUAGCUCACUGGUCGAGAGACCCUGCGCCGAAGAUUCCCGGGGCUAAAGUACGAAACCGAAGCUGUGGCUGUAUACGUAAAGUAUACGGGGUAGGGGAGCGUUCCCAUAGGGUAGAAGUCGAACUGGAAGGUUCGGUGGACUUGUGGGAAGUGAGAAUGUUGGUAUGAGUAGCGAAAAGAAAGGUGAGAAUCCUUUCCACCGAAAGCAUAAGGAUUCCUGAGCAACGAUCGUCGUCUCAGGGUAAGUCGGGACCUAAUCCGAGGCAGAGAGCGUAGGAGAUGGACAACUGGUUGAUAUUCCAGUACCGGUAGUAAUUGUUUGAGCAAUGGAGUGACACAGAAGGGCAGGCAAGCAUGCGAAUGGAAGAGCAUGUGUAAGCGUGUAGGGUGGUGCAUAGGCAAAUCCGUGCACUGAAAGCCUGAGGCGUGAUGCGGAGUGAGCAGAGAUGCGAGCGAAGUUGUUGACCCCACACUGUCGAGAAAAGCUUCUAGUGAGAGAGCUACCGCCCGUACCGUAAACCGACACAGGUAUGCGGGGAGAGAAUCCUAAGGUGCGCGGGAGAACCCUCGUUAAGGAACUCGGCAAAAUGUACCCGUAACUUCGGGAUAAGGGUAGCCACUGUUGUGAAGUCCCAUGCGGAUGGAGCAUAGAGUGGUCGCAGAGAAGAGGCCCAAGCGACUGUUUACCAUAAACACAGGUGCCUGCUAAAGCGAAAGCUGACGUAUAGGUGCUGACACCUGCCCAGUGCCGGAAGGUUAAGGAAGGAUGUUCGGAUUAGUCCAAAGCAUUCGACUGAAGCCCCGGUGAACGGCGGCCGUAACUAUAACGGUCCUAAGGUAGCGAAAUUCCUUGUCGGGUAAGUUCCGACCCGCACGAAAGGCGUAAUGAUUUGGGCACUGUCUCAACGAGGGACCCGGUGAAAUUGAAAUACCUGUGAAGAUGCAGGUUACCCGCGACUGGACAGAAAGACCCCAUGGAGCUUUACUGUAACCUGACAUUGGGUUUUGAUACAUUACGUACAGGAUAGGUGGGAGGCAUGGAAGCUGGACGCUAGUCUGGCUGGAGCCGCCGUUGGGAUACCACCCUUGAUGUAUUGAAAUUCUAACCGCGAGAGUAACGAAAUCCGGG
rnacentral:rRNA from 1 species